rnacentral:rRNA from 1 species
UACGUAGGGGGCAAGCGUUAUCCGGAUUUACUGGGUGUAAAGGGGGCGCAGACGGCGAUGCAAGCCAGGAGUGAAAGCCCGGGGCCCAACCCCGGGACUGCUCUUGGAACUGCGUGGCUGGAGUGCAGGAGGGGCAGGCGGAAUUCCUGGUGUAGCGGUGAAAUGCGUAGAUAUCAGGAGGAACACCGGUGGCGAAGGCGGCCUGCUGGACUGCAACUGACGUUGAGGCCCGAAAGCGUGGGGAGCAAACAGGAUUAGAAACCCCAGUAGUCCCCAGGCCACGUGUUUCGG